rnacentral:rRNA from 1 species
AUAGGGCCUCGCUGCCUUGCCCGUCUGGCGCCAUAUUCACCCAUGUCUUUUUGCGUACUACUUGUUUCCUUGGCGGGUCCGCCCGCCAAUUGGACCUUAUUCAAACCUUUUUUUCAGUUGCAAUCAGCGUCAGCAAAACAAAUGUAAUCAAUUACAACUUUCAACAACGGAUCUCUUGGUUCUGGCAUCGAUGAAGAACGCAGCGAAAUGCGAUAAGUAGUGUGAAUUGCAGAAUUCAGUGAAUCAUCGAAUCUUUGAACGCACAUUGCGCCCUUUGGUAUUCCAAAGGGCAUGCCUGUUCGAGCGUCAUUUGUACCCUCAAGCUUUGCUUGGUGUUGGGCGUCUUGUCUCUCUCCCGAGACUCGCCUUAAAAUCAUUGGCAGCCGGCCUACUGGUUUCGGAGCGCAGCACAUUAUUUGCGCUCUUGUCCAGCCGCGGUCGCGCGUCCAUGAAGCUUCUUUCAACCUUUUGACCUC